rnacentral:rRNA from 1 species
AACGUAGGGGACAAGCGUUGUUCGGAAUUACUGGGCGUAAAGGGCUCGUAGGCGGCCAACUAAGUCAGACGUGAAAUCCCUCAGCUUAACUGGGGAACUGCGUCUGAUACUGGAUGGCUUGGAUCCGGAAGAGGGAUGCGGAAUUCCAGGUGUAGCGGUGAAAUGCGUAGAUAUCAAGAGGAACACCAGUGGCGAAGGCGAGUCCCUGGACAACACCUGACACUGAGGCACGAAAGCUAGGGGAGCAAACAGG